rnacentral:rRNA from 1 species
UAACUCUCAACAACGGAUAUCUUGGCUCUCGCAACGAUGAAGAACGCAGCGAAAUGCGAUACGUAGUGUGAAUUGCAGAAUUCCGUGAACCAUCGAAUCUUUGAACGCACAUUGCGCCUUAGGCUUCGGCCAAGGGCAUGUCUGCCUCAGCGUCGGGUU